rnacentral:tRNA from 1 species
GGAGUGGUAGCUCAGCUGGUUAGAGCGUCUGCCUGUCACGCAGAAGGUCGCGGGUUCGAACCCCGUCCAUUCCG